rnacentral:tRNA from 1 species
AAUAAAUUAAUUUAAUUAAAAUAUUAAAUUGUCAAUUUAAAAUUAUCUUAAAAUGAUAUUUAUUA